CCUACGGGUGGCAGCAGUGGGGAAUAUUGGGCAAUGGGCGCAAGCCUGACCCAGCAACGCCGCGUGAAGGAAGAUGGCUUUCGGGUUGUAAACUUCUUUUGACAGGGAAGAGCAGAAGACGGUACCUGUCCAAUAAGCCACGCCUAACUACGUGCCAGCAGCCGCGGUAUUACGGAGGUGGCAAGCGUUGUCCGGAUUUACUGGGUGUAAAGGGCGUGUAGCCGGGCUGACAAGUCAGAUGUGAAAUCCGGGGGCUCAACCCCCGAACUGCAGUUGAAACUGGUGGGCUUGAGUAUCGGAGAGGCAGGCGGAAUUCGUAGUGUAGCGGUGAAAUGCGUAGAUAUUAGGAGGAACACCAGUGGCGAAGGCGGCCUGCUGGACUGCAACUGACGUUGAGGCCCGAAAGCGUGGGGAGCAAACAGGAUUAGAUACCCGGGUAGUC
rnacentral:rRNA from 1 species